rnacentral:piRNA from 1 species
UUUAAUUUAUUGGGUAUUGGA